GCUAGUUCACCCAGAAGCUCGCGCCGGGGUCUGCAGUCACGCGGGUGUCCAUCAGUGUCCAUCUGUCUGUCUGCUCUGUGGAAGACCAUGACUUCUGUCUUUCCCUGUGGGAUCACAGAAGUGGACGGUGACUCUGUGGAUUUGCUUCUCUCUGUUGAGGAGACCCGAGAACCAGUCCAGAGUUCAGUGUGUCCGUUCAGUGAGGAUGAUGAGGAAUAUGAUGCCUGAUGAAGAAAAGUAGCGUAAAGGGUCAACAGAUAAAACGACGAACUUGAAAUUUACUUUUUUCUUGACUUUGUAUGAAAUACUUUCUGUGAUCACUUAUUAAAAGGAUGAUUACAAAAAAAGAUUUAA